UACGGAGGGAGCUAGCGUUGUUCGGAAUUACUGGGCGUAAAGCGCGCGUAGGCGGCUUUGUAAGUUAGAGGUGAAAGCCCGGGGCUCAACCCCGGAACUGCCUUUAAGACUGCAUCGCUUGAAUCCGGGAGAGGGAUGUGGAAUUCCAGGUGUAGCGGUGAAAUGCGUAGAUAUCUGGAGGAACACCGGUGGCGAAGGCGGCAUCCUGGACCGGUAUUGACGCUGAGGAGCGAAAGCCAGGGGAGCAAACGGG
rnacentral:rRNA from 1 species